rnacentral:lncRNA from 1 species
AUUCGUGGCUCUUGCUUCUUCACUGUUCUUAGUCUUGCCUCACGCCUGGUUCUCUUCUCUCUGACUCAUUUCCCGGACUCUGGCACCUCUGCCCGGGAUACCGCCACCUAACACCCGGGGGCUUUUUCGUGCCUCCGACUGGUCUCAGCCUCAUGCCUCUGCUGAGCUGCUGCACCCACGGCGAGGCAGUUCCUGUGGGUUCUGGAGGAGCGAGGGAUUCCUUCCGAAAGAAGGUCACUUUGAACUUCUAGAAUUAGACCCCGUUCGGAGAAGGAACUUCUACCAAACUCCUGUGAGGUUAGCACUGGACCAUGAGCAAAGCCCGUCAGCUGCGUUCAGAGCACAGACGCCACGGUGCCCUUUUGUUUGUUUGUUUGGUUGGUUGGUUGGUUUGGUUUUGGAUGAAGUCUUUUGUAGCCCAGUAUGGCCUCGAACUCACUACGUAGCCAAAGACAACCUUUGCACCCCUAACCUCUUCUCUCCGUCUUCGUGGUAUUGGGAUCCCAGGUGUGCCUCACUACACACAGUUUUCCUGGUGCUGGAGGUAAAACUCAGGGCUUCUGGGUACGAAAAGACUCUGUCAACUGAGCCACAUUCCCAGCCCCCCAACUAAAAACAUGCUUUAAAAAA